rnacentral:lncRNA from 1 species
UGGAUUUGGAGUUGGUGAACGAACAGGACGCCAUUGUAGAGAUUGUAAUAAAAGAUAUUUGCCUUCCUUCGCAAAAUCUACUUCUUUUUCAUUGUUAUCGUUAAUAAUUCGAGCAGCCUCAUUUGAUGUGAUGCUAAUUAGGACUAUAAAAAGUAGCAUUUGAGAUUUCAUAUUUGAUUUUUAUGGAAUAUUGAGAGUACUAUGAAAUGUAUGUUUUGUUUCGAA